AUUGAACGCUGGCGGCAGGCCUAACACAUGCAAGUCGAGCGGUAGAGAGGUGCUUGCAUCUCUUGAGAGCGGCGGACGGGUGAGUAAUGCCUAGGAAUCUGCCUAGUGGUGGGGGAUAACGUUCGGAAACGGACGCUAAUACCGCAUACGUCCUACGGGAGAAAGCGGGGGAUCUUCGGACCUCGCGCCAUUAGAUGAGCCUAGGUCGGAUUAGCUAGUUGGUGAGGUAAUGGCUCACCAAGGCGACGAUCCGUAACUGGUCUGAGAGGAUGAUCAGUCACACUGGAACUGAGACACGGUCCAGACUCCUACGGGAGACAGCAGUGGGGAAUAUUGGGACAAUGGGCGAAAGCCUGAUCCAGCCAUGCCGCGUGUGUGAAGAAGGUCUUCGGAUUGUAAAGCACUUUAAGUUGGGUAGGAAGGGUAGUAACCUAAUACGUUGCUACUUUGACGUUACCGACAGAAUAAGCAACCGGCUAACUUCGUGCCAGCAG
rnacentral:rRNA from 1 species